UACGGAGGGUGCAAACGUUGCUCGGAAUCAUUGGGCGUAAAGCGAGCGUAGGCGGUCUCGUAAGUCGGAUGUGAAAGCCCUCGGCUCAACCGAGGAAGUGCACCCGAAACUGCGAGACUUGAGUGUCGGAGAGGGUGACGGAAUUCCCGGUGUAGAGGUGAAAUUCGUAGAUAUCAGGAGGAACACCGGUGGCGAAGGCGGCCACCUGGACGACAACUGACGCUGAGACGCGAAAGCGUGGGGAGCAAACAGG
rnacentral:rRNA from 1 species